GGCCAGUGUGCCGGCUCCCUCUGCGGAGGAAGGACGGCGCUGAGAACGUUAGGUUAUGCAGUGAGUUUGCAAAAAGCAGACACACAUAAAAUGCUGGAGGAACUCAGCAGGUCAGGCAGUGUCUAUAGAUUGGAUUAAGCAGUCAACAUUUCUGGUUGAGACCCUUCAUCAGGACUGGAAAGGAAAGGAGCGGAAACCGGAAUUAAAAGACAGUCACAAAACAAAGAAAACUGCGGAGUCUGUUCAAAGAAAUACAUCAAACAGCCCUUCACAAAAACACACCGCCCAAGCAGCAACAAAAAGCACAGAUUUAAAAGCAGAAAAUUGCAAGAGUCCAGAUGCUGUCUGAUUUGCUGAGUUCCUCCAGAACUUUGUGUGCAUUGCCCAAGAUUUCCAGCAGCAGGAGAGUGCUGAUGUUCAUGAUUUGCAGAAAGCAGGCAUGUAAUCGUUGCACUGGGCAGGUGUUGAAUUGGUGUACACUUCUGCCUUUCUGCUGGUUUGGGAGUCCAGAAUAGUGGAUUAUUACCUGGAAAGUGGGCUGAUCUCAGGAAGGCCAUUUCCACACAAGGGAGAAUAGUUCUCUUCAGGGCAGAAUCAGCAUCCGGUUUAUUAUCACUGAUUUACGUCAUAAAUGCAGCAGCAGUGCAGUGCAAGACAAAAAAUUACUAUAAAUUACAAUGAGAACAUACGUUAAAAACAAAUAAUAAAUAGAGCCAAAGGUGUGAGGCAGUGUUCCUGGGCUCAAUGGCCAUUCAGAAUCUGAUGGCGGAGGGGAAGAAGCUGUUCCUGAAUCACUGACUGUGUGUCUUCAGACUCCUGGACCUCCUCCCCGAUGGUAGCAACGAGAAGAGGAUAUGUCCUGUGUGGUGAGAGUUCUUCAUGAUGGAUGCUACCAUCUUGAGGCAUCACCUAUUGAAGAUGUCCUUGAUGGAAAACAUAAAACUGUACAGCAUACUACAGGGGCUUCGGCCCAGAACCUUUGAAUUCCUCCAGCAAAGAUUGUUUGUUGCUCUGGAUUCCAGUAUCUGCGGUCCCUAGCGUCUCCUAAACAGAAAUUAGGAUGCUGUGAGGAUUUUUCCAGCAGGAAGUAAAGAGGCUGAAUGGCUUCUCUACCCUGGAGUUUGUCAUUGAUCUGAUAAAGAACAUGAGAUAUCUGCAGGCACCAAGGUGAUUUAUAUAUAUACAGUGGAAUUUGGUUAAUUGUGCCAAUGUUAAUCAGGCAGCCAUUUAUCUGGGAACUCUUAAAGAACAAAAAACUAAGUGAGAAAAUAGUUGGGAUUCCAUUCGCAUAUCUGGGACUCUGCACUGCUUAAUUGUGGCAGAAGACUUGCUGAACAGUUUCUAAGUAGCGUCAGUUGUGUGCACUUGGGUGGACAUUAGACCCUGCGCUGUGAUUACUGCAAACUGUUUUGAAUAGUGUCAGCUGUGUAUGUUUGUGUUCAAAGCGCAGUGAUUUUUGUCACUGAUAGUUGGCGAGCAAUAGCAGUAAGACAAUUCAGAACUGUUUUGCUCACUGCGGCUUCAAGCAUUCAGGCUCGGAGAUGCCAGAAACCACUGGGAGUGAAAAUGAAAUGAUUUUGUACUUCAAGUUAGGAACUAUGAGGGUAUCAACAAUCACCUUGAAUGUUACAAUGAAAAUGAAGAUUUGAAGGAUGCAAUUGUCAAAAGCAUUGUGUGUAGGCAGUCCAUUAUCUGCAGUAGGUGUCUGGACUGGUUUUGUUUAUUUACAACUGAAAGAACAUAAUGUGGAUGAAUUCCUCAGUUGAAAAGUAUUAGGAACUAAUAGACAAUUUUAUAGUACUGUAGUAGUAUUGGUAAUGUUCUAAUUUGUUCUGUAUUUCAUUUAAAAACAUAAUUUGCUACUCUGUUUGUAUUUUAUGCAUUUUUAACUAUUUCCAUGAAACUUCAGCUAAUUGGGGCAGCUGCUCAUUUGGGCCAAAAUGUCCCAAUUAACCGGAUUCCACUGUAUUCAAA